rnacentral:rRNA from 1 species
UACGGAGGGUGCGAGCGUUAAUCGGAAUUACUGGGCGUAAAGCGUGCGUAGGCGGAUGUUUAAGUCUGUUGUGAAAUCCCCGGGCUCAACCUGGGAAUGGCAUUGGAUACUGGGCAUCUAGAGUGUGGUAGAGGGUAGUGGAAUUUCUGGUGUAGCGGUGAAAUGCGUAGAUAUCAGAAAGAACACCAAUGGCGAAGGCAACUACCUGGGCCAACACUGACGCUGAGGUACGAAAGCGUGGGGAGCAAACAGG